CCAGAGUCACCUGCUUCAAGCUGUGUAUCCAUAAAGUCUAAAGUCUAAAGAGUCUAAAAGUGAAACACUUGAAUUCAACAGCAUCUCACACCAAAUUGAAAUAAUGGACCAACAGAGACAAGAAUCAUUUUAUCGCUUCUCAGAUGAUGAUAAAAUCGAAAUGAAGCAGGAAAGGCCAGAUUCUCAUCUACCAAGAUGUUUGUCCACAAGACUCUCCAAAUAUCAGCCAUUGGAUUUUAAGGAUGGAGGACCCUCUGAAAAUAAAUUCCAAAUGGAUAAGAAGAGACUAGAACCAUCUCAACCACUGUCGGUGUCCAUGACUACAGAACAAUCAGAAGAUGAACCAGAUGAAAUCGAGGAAAAAUGCCCUUCUGUUCA